CCAAUUUGGAGAAAGUCAAUAUGAAUCUGUAAAUCCAGUCCAAGUUGCAAAGCUUCUUGGGUCACCAAACAGUACCUGUGAUGAGAGUAACACUUGGCUUGAUCCACCACUAGAAAAUUGUGAAUAUGCCGUUGUCAACAAGGCAGACAAGAAGGGAAAGGAGGGAGAUCUUGUGUACGCUCAACUCGCCAAUUUUGACAAUAAAACUGACGCCACUAAACCAC